rnacentral:rRNA from 1 species
GACGAACGCUGGCGGCGUGCUUAACACAUGCAAGUCGAACGGAAAGGCCCUGCUUGUGUGGGGUGCUCGAGUGGCGAACGGGUGAGUAACACGUGAGUAACCUGCCCUUGACUGUGGGAUAACUUCAGGAAACUGGGGCUAAUACCGGAGAGGAGCUCCGGCUGCAUGGGGGGGGUUGGAAAGUUUACGCGGUGGGGGAUGGACUGGGGGCUUAUCAGCUUGUUGGGGGGGUAGUGGCUAACCAGGGCCUUGGCGGAUAGCCGGCCUGGGAGGGGGACCGGCCCCAAGGGUACUGAGAGACGGCGCAGUCGGCAAUGUGAGGCAGCAGGGGGGAAUAUUGCACAAUGGGCCCACGCCUGAUGUAGCGACGUUCGGUGCGUGAAGCAGUCCUUCGGGUUGUAAACCGCUUUCGCCUGUGACCAAGCGUGAGUGACGGUAACUGGUAAAGAAGCACCGGCUAACUACGUG